GGCCAGUUAGCUCAGUUGGUUAGAGCAUGGUGCUAAUAACGCCAAGGUCACAGGUUCAAUCCCUGUACAGUCUA
rnacentral:tRNA from 1 species